CCUACGGGACGCAGCAGUGGGGAAUAUUGCACAAUGGGGGAAACCCUGAUGCAGCGACGCCGCGUGAGUGAAGAAGUAAUUCGGUAUGUAAAGCUCUGUCAGCAGGGAAGAAAAUGACGGUACCUGAGUAAGAAGCCCCGGCUAACUACGUGCCAGCAGCCGCGGUAAUACGUAGGGGGCAAGCGUUAUCCGGAUUUACUGAGUGUAAAGGGAGCGUAGACGGCAGGGCAAGUCUGGAGUGAAAGGCGGGGGCUCAACCCCCGGACUGCUCUGGAAACUGUACGGCUGGAGUGCAGGAGAGGUAAGUGGAAUUCCUAGUGUAGCGGUGAAAUGCGUAGAUAUUAGGAGGAACACCAGUGGCGAAGGCGGCUUACUGGACUGUAACUGACGUUGAGGCUCGAAAGCGUGGGGAGCAAACAGGAUUAGAUACCCUGGUAGUC
rnacentral:rRNA from 1 species